rnacentral:rRNA from 1 species
CAUGAAUAAAACAUAGCGUUAAUCCAUCGGAUCCCAUUAGAACUCCAUAGUUAAGCGUGCUCAGGCUAGAGUAGUACUGGGAUGGGUGACCAUCCGAGAAGUCCUAGUGUUUUACAUGC